UUUCAAUAUGUAGUCGAUCUUGAAAAUGACUACUGAUGUAUCUUGCGUUCUUUUUUUCAGGCUAAUUCUUUGAACUUUGGCGUGUAUUUUACACUUACAGCACAUCUCAAUCAGACCAGCCACAUUGCAAGUGCUCCAUAGGCACAUGUGGCAGGUGGCCACCGAGGUGGACAGCACAGCCCGAACAGAGUCCUUUCUGUUACUCUUCAGAAACAAUAGCUUUCUCCAUUCAGGACCACACUCCUGCAUGCCCUCUCCACCGCAUCAGCACCUGCGCCAUGGUUCACAGGUGGCCUUGGGAUUGUAAGGCAAGCGCUGUGCUUCUGUUCGCUUGCAGAGAGCCCUGAACUCAUGCUUCUGUCUGGGCAGCGGCCCUUGACAGCUGGGGCUCGCUCUUUCCUUCCCAGGGCGCCAUGGUUGGAUGCUGUAUCUUGCUAAAGUCAAACUUUCUACUUCGAAAAACUUUACAAAACUUCACAAAGGCAGAUUUUCUCUUACUUUUUAAAAACAGGUCUGUCAUUUCUUAAUUUUCUCUCUGGUACAUUUUCCAGCCAUUGUUUUGCUAAUAAUAGCUCUAAGCAUGCAAAUAAAGCUCAGUGGUAGUGGUAGAUUUGGGAAAUUGCUGCUAGCUUCCUCACAGCCUUAUCCUGCUCCUGUCAGCCAUUUCCCCAAGAAAAUGGACGUUUCAUCAGCACCAGGCUGCAUCUUAUUUGUGUAGCUUAUCAGCUACCGCCUCCUUCCAGGCCCAGAGAGAAGACAGAAACCUACAGGCUGCCCGCAAUGGCCCAGGAGGCGGGGUUUCCACCAGGAAGCAGCGCCUUUAUGAAUUAAGCACGUGACGCAUCUCAGCGUGGCCACGUCUGUAAGGUGAUAUGGAAGUUGUUUCUAAAUAUUGAACCUUCACGACGAAGGAAGAAAGCUACAAGGAAUGAACCCUCUUGUGGAGGCGAGAAAACCUUUCUCUGCGGUGUUGCUGGAUUUGCUCCUGGAAUCAGCGGCCUCUGUAGCUUUCUGCAGUGUUUGGUGUGAGGCAGGCAGUUUUGAACUGUGCCCUCUUAACAACGGCAGAUGUGCCCCAGGGCCAGCGAUGCUACAGCCUUCAAAAGAGAUUUCCCCAGAGCAGAACUGCAGUGACCAACCCAGGGCAGACCCUGUGUUUGGAGCCUGUCUCCACCGCUGCCCGCCCCCAGCAGCAGCCAUCUCGGGGUCUGCAGCAUUCGCUCUGCAACCACCUUGGAUGUGGCCACUUCUCUGCCCCUCCCUUUGCCCACUCUGCUUCUGACCAUCCUGCAGCUGAUUUAGAGAGAGCUUGGAGAAGAGUUGAGUCAUGUGAAAACUGUGGUGGCAGCAACCUAAUUUCCAGUCCUGGGGCUCAGGGGAAACUAGCCAGGCUUUAUAGGGCUUGCCUUACAAGCUCAAACCUACUGGUUGUGAACAAAUGCCACAGUAAACUUAACUGCCGAAAA
rnacentral:lncRNA from 1 species